rnacentral:rRNA from 1 species
GAUGAACGCUGGCGGCGUGCCUAAUACAUGCAAGUCGAGCGAACGGACGAGAAGCUUGCUUCUCUGAUGUUAGCGGCGGACGGGUGGGAACACGGUGAUAACCUACCUUUAAAACUUGGAAUACCUUGGGAAAACGGAAGUAAAUCCGGGAUAUAUUUUUAACCGCCUGGGUCAAAAGGUGAAGACCGGCUUUGCGGCACUUAAAAGUGGGUCCGCGCUGCAUUAGCUAGUUGGUAAGGUAACGGCUUACCAAGGCAACGAUGCAUAGCCGACCUGAGAGGGUGAUCGGCCACACUGGAACUGAGACACGGUCCAGACUCCUACGGGAGGCAGCAGUAGGGAAUCUUCCGCAAUGGGCGAAAGCCUGACGGAGCAACGCCGCGUGAGUGAUGAAGGUCUUCGGAUCGUAAAACUCUGUUAUUAGGGAAGAACAUAUGUGUAAGUAACUGUGCACAUCUUGACGGUACCUAAUCAGAAAGCCACGGCUAACUACGUG